rnacentral:rRNA from 1 species
ACUUAGUGGCGGACGGGUGAGUAACGCGUGGAUAACCUGCCUUACACUGGGGGAUAACACUUAGAAAUAGGUGCUAAUACCGCAUAAGCGCACAGAGCCGCAUGGCUCAGUGUGAAAAACUCCGGUGGUGUAAGAUGGAUCCGCGUCUGAUUAGCUAGUUGGCGGGGUAGAAGCCCACCAAGGCGACGAUCAGUAGCCGGCCUGAGAGGGUGAACGGCCACAUUGGGACUGAGACACGGCCCAAACUCCUACGGGAGGCAGCAGUGGGGAAUAUUGCACAAUGGGGGAAACCCUGAUGCAGCAACGCCGCGUGAGUGAAGAAGUCAUUCGUGAUGUAAAGCUCUAUCAGCAGGGAAGAAAAUGACGGUACCUGAGUAAGAAGCCCCGGCUAACUACGUGCCAGCAGCCGCGGUAAUACGUAGGGGGCAAGCGUUAUCCGGAUUUACUGGGUGUAAAGGGAGCGUAGACGGCCAGACAAGCCUGAAGUGAAAAUCCAGCGCUUAACGUUGGAAGUGCUUUGGAAACUGCCGGGCUAGAGUGCAGGAGGGGCAGGCGGAAUUCCUAGUGUAGCGGUGAAAUGCGUAGAUAUUAGGAGGAACACCAGUGGCGAAGGCGGCCUGCUGGACUGCAACUGACGUUGAGGCUCGAAGGCGUGGGGAGCAAACAGGAUUAGAUACCCUGGUAGUCCACGCGGUAAACGAUGAU